rnacentral:rRNA from 1 species
UACGGGAGGCAGCAGUGGGGAAUAUUGCACAAUGGGCGCAAGCCUGAUGCAGCGACGCCGCGUGCGGGAUGGAGGCCUUCGGGUUGUAAACCGCUUUGUAUCGGAGCAAGCCCUUCGGGUGAGUGUACCUUUCGAAUAAGCACCGGCUAACUACGUGCCAGCAGCCGCGGUAAU